UAUUCAGAAUUCUGCAUGUUUUGUGACACUAAGUACAUAGAGGUACUUCAGCAUUUGAGCAUCAGGUGGAUCAGUUUGGAUCUGGCUGUCAACCCCAUACUCCGCCUCUACAAGGCCCUGACGAGCUAAUUCAGAUCCACUGAGGCAGCACCCAUGUACCUAUCUACUCCAUGGGCAGGUGAGGGCAUUCAUCCGAAAGCCGAUGUCAGAAUUCUUGAAGCCUGCAGCUUUCAGAACAACAAGUUCGGAGAGUGUUGAUUUCAGGAUCAGGAAAACCAACUAGCAGAUCUCCAACUUGGUAUUGGACUGACUACAAAGGCCACGUGAGAUUCCCUCGGGUGACGUCACCAAAUUCUACAAGGCAGCAAGAGGCUUCCUGCUAAGGUCUACAGAAUAUGCAUUGAAAAAGCUACUGCUGAAUGACCUCCUGCUGCCACAUGCUGAGUUUGUGGACCUUAGGCAGAGACAAGACUCGCAUGUGGAUGAUGUGCUGUACUUUGUCCAAAGAUACAAUCACCUUCUUCCUUUUGAGGACCCAAGUGACCAGGAUAGGAUUUCAGAUGAGUUUCUGGAGUACCAGAUGCUGGAGGAAACGGACAUACCUGACACCAUCUGGAAAAGUGCCCUGGUGAGUGUUGGAGAGGAAGACCAAUUCCAUCGUAUGGACAUGGUGUGGGCACAUUUGACUAUGUGGAAGAGCCGAAUAACCGGUAAAGAACAGUUCCCCAGACUUGGGAAGGUGGCACAGCUUGUUCUAUGCCUACUUCACUCUAAUGCGGAUGCAGAACGAGUCUUCUCAACAAUUGGCCUGAACAAAACAGAGUGUAGAAACAGACUUGCAGUAGAUGGGAUGCUGUCGUUCAUUAUGUGCAUCAAAGGUAAUCAGAUCGAACCACCGGUAGAAAUGAUAAUCAAGUCCAAGUCUGCUGCUUAUAGUUGUACUAGGCCAAAAUAGGCCCUUGUGUGUGUGUGUGUGUGAGCGAAUGUGAGCGAGUGUGUGUGUGAGCGAGUGUGUAGGUGAGAGAAUG